CAAUAGCGUAUAUUAACGUUGUUGCAGUUAAAAAGCUCGUAGUUGGAUUUCUGACAGGAGUGACCGGUCCGAGUCGCAAGACUCGUGUACUUUUGUGUCUUACUCUAGUCAUCCUUAUGGAGAUUGUGUUUCGGCAUUGAGUUGUCGGGCAUAGGACCCAUAUCGUUUACUGUGAAAAAAUUAGAGUGUUUAAAGCAGGCAAUUGCUGUGAAUACAUUAGCAUGGAAUAAUAAGAUAGGACUUUGGUGCUAUUUUGUUGGUUUGCCACCAAGGUAAUGAUUAAGAGGGACAGUUGGGGGUAUUCGUAUUUAAUUGUCAGAGGUGAAAUUCUCGGAUUUAUGAAAGACGAACUACUGCGAAAGCAUUUACCAAGGAUGUUUNCAUUAA
rnacentral:rRNA from 1 species